GAGCCCGAACCUUGGAGUAAAGGGCACCUAGCUGAUAAUUAGGUUGAUGGGGGUUAAAUUCCUCCCGGGCUUU
rnacentral:tRNA from 1 species